AAAAUUGUUUAUGUUCUUGCUCAGAAUUCUACAUUAGGUUAUGGAGCCAGAGCUGCAAAAAUCUCGUAUCUUAUGACUUCUUUGAAUUCUUCAAGACUGAGAUUCAGACUCAGAUACAUCUGGCUCCACAGCCUGAGGUCUGAACAACUGUGAUUCACUGCCUCUCACUCCAUUACACUUUUUUCCACAUGACCUGCCUCCUGCUUCUGUGUUUCUUAUGAAUUAUCCCUAAGAGUGGAAGGCUGGCUUCGUAAAAUCAAAUGAGUAUGUGAAUACUGUUCAGACAGUAACUGCAAGGUGUCAUGGAACAUGACUGAAGUGAACUGUAAAGCAAGGCAAACUCUCACUACUUAAAAUAUUGGGUUUUUACCUUGGGUCCCAUGCUGAUUAGAGGCAGACUUAGGAAUCAACAAGAUCUGGGUAUUCUGUCCAGAUCCAUCACUCACUGUAUGGUCUGUAGGAAGCUACUAAACUCUUAGAACUCC